UUGGAAUGACAGACCCAAGCAAAUGGGGUUGGAUGAGCUCCUUGUUCCCCCAAGCUGCUAUGGUCUAAAUGGCUACUCCAUGACACCUUGGCCACCUCGAUUCCAAGUCACUCACCACCUGAAUGGGAUUAUUUCACACUUGAGAGGAGAGUUACAUUUGGUUCUGAAGCUGCCGAUGGUGUUUUCCACAUUUUGGGAUAUGGGUCCUGAAGGCAGGGCAGACACACCAUUGUAGAGACCUGUGGCCCCAAGCUGAGCCAGCCACACAAGCCGAGAGAGCACUGGCCCAACUGGAGUCAAAUGUGAAUGAGCUAAGCUGAAGGUUUCAGGAACAGUCUCAGGGAAGACAAGAAAAACAGGAGUGAAGUAAAUAUGUGCUGGUUUGAGAACUAAAAUGGAAAAGAGACUGAAAUCCCAGGUGUCCUGUGUGGAAAAGGCCACUGCUUCUACACACCAACAGGAAAGGAGAAUGAAAAUCGGCUGCGCCGGUAGCUCACGCCUGUAAUCCCGGCAUUUUGGGAGGCCGAAGCAGGUGAAUCACUUGAGGCCAGGAGUUUGAGACCAGCCUGGCCAACAUGGCAAAACCCC
rnacentral:lncRNA from 10 species